AUGAUUAGGAUUUUACCGUCUGCAGCUCAGUCUCAGAGUGAUCCUAAUGAUGUAACAAAUGCAAUGGCCUUGAGUGUAACUGGAGAAGAGCGAAAUACGUAUACCUCAAUGAUUGUACCUGUCUGGGUGUCCACAAAGCAGAAUCCAAGUUAUGAGAGAUUGGUGUAUGCACUUCUUGAUUUGCAGAGUGAUACCACAUUUAUUGAUAAGGGAGUGUGUGAUGAUUUACAGACAACUACGUUUCCAGUGCAAUUGAAGCUCACCACUAUGCUUGGAAAAGAUACUGUCCUACAGAGUGAAAGAGUGUCAGGACUUCAAGUUCGAGCAUACAAGUCCGGUAACUAUAUCGAUUUGCCACCUACUUAUACCAAAGACUGUAUACCUGUUAAUCGUAGCCACAUUCCUACUUGUGAAGUCGCUAAAAACUGGAAUCAUCUUACGGCCCUUGUGGGCAAGAUACCUCCAUUACAGGACUGUGAUGUUGCUCUUUUAAUAGGGUACAAUUGUUCAAGGUCGAUGGCUCCUCGAGAAGUAAUAAUCGGAGGACAUGAGGAACCCUAUGCCAUUCGGACGGACUUAGGGUGGAGCAUAGUAGGUUGUUCUUCACCACAUUCCGAUAUGUCUGGAGUCAGUGGAUUGUGUCAUCGCAUUACGGUUAAGGAGUUCCCUUCUAUCACACCAGGUGAUGUGAUUCGUGUCCUUGAGAGUGAGUUUAAAGACACUGAAGAAGAGACCACAAAGGUGUCCCAGGAUGAUAUUCUUUUUCUUGAGAAGUUAAAGGAAGGUAUACAGAAGAAUGUUCAUGGUCACUAUCAAAUGCCACUUCCCUUUAAAGUAAGACCAAAGUUACCAAAUAACAAGCAGUGUGCUAUGGUUCGACUCAGUCAUCUCAAAAGAAAAUUGGUGAAGGAUGAAUUGUAUAAGGAACGGUACAGUGAAUUCAUGAGUGAAAUCUUUCAACGAGGGGAUGCUGAGGAAGUGCACAAUGGGAGCAAGGAAGGGGAAACAUGGUACUUACCUCAUCAUGGUGUUUUUCAUCCGAAAAAGGUUGAUAAGCUGCGUGUCGUCUUCGACUGCUCUGCAAGGUAUGAGGGCUACUCUUUAAAUGAUCAUUUACUUCAAGGCCCUGAUCUAAUAAAUAAUUUGUACGGCAUCUUAAUUCGAUUUCGUCAACAUCCCAUUGCGCUUAUGUGUGACAUAGAGAAGAUGUAUCAUCAGUUUCAUGUAGAUGAGUCUGACAGAGACUUUUUGCGCUUCAUUUGGUGGAAGGAUGGAAAUUUGAACCAACCUGCCAGUGAGUUUCGUAUGAAAGUCCAUCUCUUUGGUGCAACCUCAUCCUCAGGAUGUGCAAAUUAUGGCUUGAAGCAUCUUGCAACUGAAAACAGCGAGUUGUAUCCUUUGGGGUCACAGUUUGUGAUUAAAAAUUUCUAUGUAGAUGAUGGAGUGAUAAGUGUGGAAAAUGCAGAAGAAGCCAUUAAAAUUGCAGAAGAAGCACGGAAACUCUGUGCUACAAGUGGCCUACGGCUCCACAAAUUCGUGUCAAAUAGCAAAAUAGUGCUGGACAGCAUUCCUACUUCAGAAAAGAUUUCUGACGUGGAAAAUUUUGAUCUUGCAUUUGAUGAGUUACACCUAGAAAGAACUCUAGGUAUGCAGUGGGAAAAAGAAUCUGACUGUUUCAAGUUUAAGGUUCAGUUGAAAAAUCAACCUGCUACUCGGCGUGGCAUAUUGUCUACUGUUGCUUCGGUCUAUGAUCCUUUAGGACUUAUUGCACCUGUGCUGUUGCAUGGAAAGAGAACACUACAGGAAGUAUGUAAGCGUGGCAGUGGAUGGGACGAUCCUUUACCAGAUGCACUUAUUCUAAGGUGGGAGCAAUGGAAACAAGGCUUGAAUGAUCUGCAGAAAAUGGAUAUCUCACGAACCUAUGCACCAGCUAGUUUCGGAAGAGCUGUUCAAGCUGAAUUGCAUCACUUUUCUGAUGCUAGUGUCCAUGGAUAUGGUCAGUGUUCAUAUUUGAGACUUAAAAAUAAGGACGGAGACAUUCACUGUGCACUGGUGAUGGCGAAAUCAAGAGUUGCACCUCUCAAGGUUACAACGAUCCCCAGGUUAGAGUUAGCUGCUGCCGUUGUUUCUGUCAAAGUGAGUAGUAUGCUUAAUAAGGAAUUGGACUAUGCUGUUAUCAAGGAAACCUUUUGGACAGACUCCAAAGUAGUAUUGGGAUAUAUAAGUAAUGAAGCACGCAGGUUCCACACAUUUGUCGCAAAUCGAGUACAAAGAAUACACCUCAGUACAACUCCCCAGCAAUGGCAGUAUGUUCCAACAGACGAAAACCCUGCUGAUCAUGCAUCCAGAGGUUUAACAGUGAAGGAGUUGCUUGUUUCAAACUGGUUUACUGGCCCUAAAUUUCUGUGGGACAGAAUAUCUGUAUCAAAAGAACAUGUUCCUGAACUUCUGUUUGGAGAUCCAGAGGUAAAAACAUUUUGUACUUUGAAUACUGAGUGCACAAAAACUCUGAGUUUGAUGGACGGUGUUUCAAAGUUUUCUUCUUGGUCAAAGGCAAUCAGAGCUGUAGCUCGUCUUUUGAGAAGAGCUAAUAAAGUAAAAUCGAAUCAUCUCAGUACUGUAUUAGAGCGGCAAAAAGCAGAACUUCACAUAAUCAAAUGUCUGCAAGGUAGUUCAUACAAAGAUGAGCUAAGAGAGAUAAAAAGUGGUAGAAGUGUCAUGUCUCGUAGUGCAUUGUACUCUCUUGACCCUUUCAUGGAUAAGGAUGGUGUACUCAGGGUGGGAGGUAGACUCUGCCGUUCAGUCUUUCCAGACUCUGUGAAACAUCCUAUAAUAAUUCCAAAGAAUCAUCAGAUUACCAAAUUGAUUGUUUCCCACUUUCACAACAAAGUUGCACACCAAGGGAAAGGAUUCACGAUAAAUGAGAUAAGAUCUAAUGGCUUUUUGAUCCCAGGAAUCAAUAGAAUUGUGACGUCCUAUAUUAGGAGUUGUGUUGUUUGCAGAAAGCACAGACGACCUGUUGAAGAACAGAAAAUGGCCGAUUUUCCCCCAGAGAGAGUGGCUCCAUCGCCUCCAUUUACAUAUACUGGCAUGGAUUGCUUUGGCCCCUUUUUUAUCAAGCAGGGCAGAAGUGUUCAUAAACGGUAUGGUGUUCUAUUUACUUGUUUCAGUUCUCGUGCUGUACACAUCGAGAUGCUUACUGAUAUGACAGCCGAUUCUUUCAUCAAUGCUCUGCAUUGUUUUAUUGCAAUAAGGGGCACGGUGCAGCAGAUAAGGUCCGAUCAAGGGAGCAACUUUAAGGGAGCAAAAAAUGAGUUAAAAGAUGCACUUAAGGAAAUGGAUGUGGGGAGAGUGACAACCUUCCUAUCAGAGAAUCAGUGCGACUUUAUCAUGAAUGCACCACAUGCAAGUCAUGUUGGUGGCGUGUGGGAACGUCAAAUUAGAACCAUAAGAUCUGUAUUAAAUGCUACUCUUGCACUUCACCCAGGAAGAUUAAAUGACUCCUCUCUACGAGCUUUUUUGUAUGAAGCAAUGGCCAUUGUGAAUAAUAGACCACUUACUACUGACUGUCUGACUGAUCCUCAAAGUCUGACACCAAUCACUCCAAAUCAUCUGCUUACGUUAAAAUCAACUACUGCUUUGCCUCCUCCAGGAAACUUUGUUAGGGAGGAUGUGUUUGCACGGAAAAGAUGGAGACAUGUGCAGUAUUUAGCAGAACAAUUUUGGAGUCGUUGGCGCAAAGAGUACCUUGUGAACAUAGCUGGCCGGCAGAAAUGGAACGUGGUUAAGAGAAAUCUCCAAGUUGAUGAUCUUGUUAUCGUCAAAGAAGAGGAGAUGCAUAGGAAUGACUGGAGGCUUGGCAGGAUAAAGGAGAUCAUUUUUAGUGGUGACGGACUUGUAAGAAGAGCCAAGGUUAUUCUAGGUGACUCAAAGCUUAGUGCAGAAGGCAAGCGCAUUAACAAACCAUCCAUAAUUGAAAGACCAGUGCAAAAACUUGUCUUAUUAUUGGAGGGACAUUAG
ensembl:lncRNA